CCCCAUAGUUGAUCUAUCUGUCGAAAGAUCGAAGGCAGCAGGUGCCAAUCUCCCGAGUCUUUCAAGUAGUGCGAAUUCCAAUCUGCCCAUUCGUUGUCCAAGCCCGGGAUGUGUUCAGCCGUAACCGCCACCGCGUUGUGGAGGCAAAACUGCCAGAAGUCCUUCGCCAGGUUCGCCAGUUGUUUUGAUUUUGUGCCACCUAGGUGAUUUAUAUAUCUGACCGCGGACACAUUGUCGAUGCGCAGAAGGACACAGCAGUUUCCCAGAGUUGGAGACAGGCUGCGAAUGGCGAAUGAUCCUGCCAGCAAUCUACACAUAAACUUUGAGACAGUUUAUGUGUAGUUUCGAUUCGAUUUCGGACCAUCUGCCACCUGUGGAGA